rnacentral:rRNA from 1 species
AAGCGCAAGUGACGGUACCUGCAGAAGAAGCACCGGCUAACUACGUGCCAGCAGCCGCGGUAAUACGUAGGGUGCGAGCGUUGUCCGGAAUUACUGGGCGUAAAGAGUUCGUAGGCGGUUUGUCGCGUCGUUUGUGAAAACCCGGGGCUCAACUUCGGGCUUGCAGGCGAUACGGGCAGACUUGAGUGUUUCAGGGGAGACUGGAAUUCCUGGUGUAGCGGUGAAAUGCGCAGAUAUCAGGAGGAACACCGGUGGCGAAGGCGGGUCUCUGGGAAACAACUGACGCUGAGGAACGAAAGCGUGGGUAGCAAACAGGAUUAGAUACCCUGGUAGUCCACGCCGUAAACGGUGGGCGCUAGGUGUGGGUUCCUUCCACGGAAUCUGUGCCGUAGCUAACGCAUUAAGCGCCCCGCCUGGGGAGUACGGCCGCAAGGCUAAAACUCAAAGGAAUUGACGGGGGCCCGCACAAGCGGCGGAGCAUGUGGAUUAAUUCGAUGCAACGCGAAGAACCUUACCUGGGUUUGACAUACACCGGAAAGCCGUAGAGAUACGGCCCCCCUUGUGGUCGGUGUACAGGUGGUGCAUGGCUGUCGUCAGCUC